UGGGGAAUAUUGGACAAUGGGCGCAAGCCUGAUCCAGCAAUGCCGCGUGUGUGAAGAAGGCCUUCGGGUUGUAAAGCACUUUUAUCAGGAGCGAAAUACCACGGGUUAAUACCCUAUGGGGCUGACGGUACCUGAGGAAUAAGCACCGGCUAACUUCGUGCCAGCAGCCGCGGUAAUACGAAGGGUGCAAGCGUUAAUCGGAAUUACUGGGCGUAAAGGGUGCGUAGGCGGUUCGUUAAGUCUGUUGUGAAAUCCCCGGGCGUCAACCUGGGAAUGGCAAUGGAUACUGGCGAGCUAGAGUGUGAUAGAGGAUGGUGGAAUUCCCGGUGUAGCGGUGAAAUGCGUAGAGAUCGGGAGGAACAUCAGUUGGCGAAGGCGGCCAUCUGGAUCAACACUGACGCUGAAGCACGAAAGCGUGGGGAGCAAACA
rnacentral:rRNA from 1 species